CUUUUAUUUUUCGAAGUCAAGCAUAUAAAAAUUUCGAGGGAUUUUUUUCAGAUUUCUUUUGAGAAAGUUGAUUCAGUUUUGAGGGACACAACUAUCUUCCACACUUGAUUUUUCCUUUUCCGGUGAACUUUAGCCGCGACCAACAAUUACUCUAUUUUCAUUUUUUCGUUUUGAAACUUUAGUUACUUUAAUCGGGUUCGGGUUCGGGUUCGUUCGAGUUCGAGCAUAGAUUCGAGACCCCGACGACCUCCGUUCACUGCACCCACAACAGCCCAACAAAAUCCUCCUCUCGAGUCAGCCUUCCGUUCGCAGUGAACGAAUUCUGGGCCGAGGCCCAUAUGCCAUACAGUAUCAGGCAGUCCGCAACAACACAUAUAAAUUGUUACUGGGCCGAAGCCCAGUUGCAAACAGAUGGCAACAGUCUAAAUGGGAUGAGCCCAUUCUCAUUAUAUCUACUCCUCUAUUUUUUAUUUUUGUGUGUAUUUAACAUGUAUUGUAUGACUGACAUUCGUGCUUGUUAAUUAAACUUUAGUAACAUUAAGGGUUUUAGUUUAGUUGUGGGUAGUUAAUUUUACAAAAUUACAUUCA